rnacentral:rRNA from 1 species
AACGGUGGCUAAUACCGGAUGUGCCGAGAGGUGAAAGGUUAACCUGCCUGAAGAUGAGCUCGCGUCUGAUUAGCUAGUAGGUGUGGUAAGAGCGCACCUAGGCGACGAUCAGUAGCUGGUCUGAGAGGACGAUCAGCCACACUGGGACUGAGACACGGCCCAGACUCCUACGGGAGGCAGCAGUGGGGAAUUUUCCGCAAUGGGCGAAAGCCUGACGGAGCAAUACCGCGUGAGGGAGGAAGGCUCUUGGGUCGUAAACCUCUUUUCUCAGGGAAGAACACAAUGACGGUACCUGAGGAAUAAGCAUCGGCUAACUCCGUGCCAGCAGCCGCGGUAAUACGGAGGAUGCAAGCGUUAUCCGGAAUGAUUGGGCGUAAAGCGUCCGCAGGUGGCUAUGUAAGUCUGCUGUUAAAGAGUCUAGCUCAACUAGAUAAGAGCAGUGGAAACUACAUGGCUAGAGUGCGUUCGGGGCAGAGGGAAUUCCUGGUGUAGCGGUGAAAUGCGUAGAGAUCAGGAAGAACACCGGUGGCGAAGGCGCUCUGCUAGGCCGCAACUGACACUGAG